AAGGUUAAGCCUCACGGUUCAUUAGUACCGGUUAGCUCAACGCAUCGCUGCGCUUACACACCCGGCCUAUCAACGUCGUCGUCUUCAACGUUCCUUCAGGACUCUCAAGGAGUCAGGGAGAACUCAUCUCGGGGCAAGUUUCGUGCUUAGAUGCUUUCAGCACUUAUCUCUUCCGCAUUUAGCUACCGGGCAGUGCCAUUGGCAUGACAACCCGAACACCAGUGAUGCGUCCACUCCGGUCCUCUCGUACUAGGAGCAGCCCCCCUCAGUUCUCCAGCGCCCACGGCAGAUAGGGACCGAACUGUCUCACGACGUUCUAAACCCAGCUCGCGUACCACUUUAAAUGGCGAACAGCCAUACCCUUGGGACCUACUUCAGCCCCAGGAUGUGAUGAGCCGACAUCGAGGUGCCAAACACCGCCGUCGAUAUGAACUCUUGGGCGGUAUCAGCCUGUUAUCCCCGGAGUACCUUUUAUCCGUUGAGCGAUGGCCCUUCCAUUCAGAACCACCGGAUCACUAUGACCUGCUUUCGCACCUGCUCGCGCCGUCACGCUCGCAGUCAAGCUGGCUUAUGCCAUUGCACUAACCUCCUGAUGUCCGACCAGGAUUAGCCAACCUUCGUGCUCCUCCGUUACUCUUUAGGAGGAGACCGCCCCAGUCAAACUACCCACCAGACACUGUCCGCAACCCGGAUUACGGGUCAACGUUAGAACAUCAAACAUUAAAGGGUGGUAUUUCAAGGCCGGCUCCAUGCAGACUGGCGUCCACACUUCAAAGCCUCCCACCUAUCCUACACAUCAAGGCUCAAUGUUCAGUGUCAAGCUAUAGUAAAGGUUCACGGGGUCUUUCCGUCUUGCCGCGGGUACACUGCAUCUUCACAGCGAGUUCAAUUUCACUGAGUCUCGGGUGGAGACAGCCUGGCCAUCAUUACGCCAUUCGUGCAGGUCGGAACUUACCCGACAAGGAAUUUCGCUACCUUAGGACCGUUAUAGUUACGGCCGCCGUUUACCGGGGCUUCGAUCAAGAGCUUCGCUUGCGCUGACCCCAUCAAUUAACCUUCCGGCACCGGGCAGGCGUCACACCGUAUACGUCCACUUUCGUGUUUGCACAGUGCUGUGUUUUUAAUAAACAGUUGCAGCCAGCUGGUAUCUUCGACUGAUUUCAGCUCCAUCCGCGAGGGACUUCACCUACAUAUCAGCGUGCCUUCUCCCGAAGUUACGGCACCAUUUUGCCUAGUUCCUUCACCCGAGUUCUCUCAAGCGCCCUGGUAUUCUCUACCUGACCACCUGUGUCGGUUUGGGGUACGAUUUGAUGUUACCUGAUGCUUAGAGGCUUUUCCUGGAAGCAGGGCAUUUGUUGCUUCAGCACCGUAGUGCCUCGUCAUCACGCCUCAGCCUUGAUUUUCCGGAUUUGCCUGGAAAACCAGCCUACACGCUUAAACCGGGACAACCGUCGCCCGGCCAACAUAGCCUUCUCCGUCCCCCCUUCGCAGUAACACCAAGUACAGGAAUAUUAACCUGUUUCCCAUCGACUACGCCUUUCGGCCUCGCCUUAGGGGUCGACUCACCCUGCCCCGAUUAACGUUGGACAGGAACCCUUGGUCUUCCGGCGAGCGGGCUUUUCACCCGCUUUAUCGUUACUUAUGUCAGCAUUCGCACUUCUGAUACCUCCAGCAUGCCUCACAGCACACCUUCGCAGGCUUACAGAACGCUCCCCUACCCAACAACGCAUCAGCGUCGCUGCCGCAGCUUCGGUGCAUGGUUUAGCCCCGUUACAUCUUCCGCGCAGGCCGACUCGACCAGUGAGCUAUUACGCUUUCUUUAAAUGAUGGCUGCUUCUAAGCCAACAUCCUGGCUGUCUGGGCCUUCCCACAUCGUUUCCCACUUAACCAUGACUUUGGGACCUUAGCUGGCGGUCUGGGUUGUUUCCCUCUUCACGACGGACGUUAGCACCCGCCGUGUGUCUCCCGUGAUAACAUUCUCCGGUAUUCGCAGUUUGCAUCGGGUUGGUAAGUCGGGAUGACCCCCUUGCCGAAACAGUGCUCUACCCCCGGAGAUGAAUUCACGAGGCGCUACCUAAAUAGCUUUCGGGGAGAACCAGCUAUCUCCCGGUUUGAUUGGCCUUUCACCCCCAGCCACAAGUCAUCCGCUAAUUUUUCAACAUUAGUCGGUUCGGUCCUCCAGUUAGUGUUACCCAACCUUCAACCUGCCCAUGGCUAGAUCACCGGGUUUCGGGUCUAUACCCUGCAACUUAACGCCCAGUUAAGACUCGGUUUCCCUUCGGCUCCCCUAUUCGGUUAACCUUGCUACAGAAUAUAAGUCGCUGACCCAUUAUACAAAAGGUACGCAGUCACACGCCUAAGCGUGCUCCCACUGCUUGUACGUACACGGUUUCAGGUUCUUUUUCACUCCCCUCGCCGGGGUUCUUUUCGCCUUUCCCUCACGGUACUGGUUCACUAUCGGUCAGUCAGGAGUAUUUAGCCUUGGAGGAUGGUCCCCCCAUAUUCAGACAGGAUACCACGUGUCCCGCCCUACUCAUCGAGCUCACAGUAUGUGUAUUUUUGUGUACGGGGCUGUCACCCUGUAUCGCGCGCCUUUCCAGACGCUUCCACUAACACACACACUGAUUCAGGCUCUGGGCUGCUCCCCGUUCGCUCGCCGCUACUGGGGGAAUCUCGGUUGAUUUCUUUUCCUCGGGGUACUUAGAUGUUUCAGUUCCCCCGGUUCGCCUCAUUAACCUAUGGAUUCAGUUAAUGAUAGUGUGUCGAAACACACUGGGUUUCCCCAUUCGGAAAUCGCCGGUUAUAACGGUUCAUAUCACCUUACCGACGCUUAUCGCAGAUUAGCACGUCCUUCAUCGCCUCUGACUGCCAGGGCAUCCACCGUGUACGCUUAGUCGCUUAA
rnacentral:rRNA from 1 species